rnacentral:rRNA from 1 species
UACGUAGGGUGCGAGCGUUAAUCGGAAUUACUGGGCGUAAAGCGUGCGCAGGCGGUUCGUUAAGUUCGAUGUGAAAGCCCCGGGCUCAACCUGGGAAUUGCAUUGGAAACUGGCGGGCUUGAGUGUGGCAGAGGGGGGUGGAAUUCCGACGUGUAGCAGGUGAAAUGCGUAGAUAUGCGGAGGAACACCGAUGGCGAAGGCAAUCCCCUGGACCUGUACUGACGCUCAUGCACGAAAGCGUGGGGAGCAAACAGG